UACAGAGGUCUCAAGCGUUGUUCGGAUUCAUUGGGCGUAAAGGGUGCGUAGGCGGCGCGGUAAGUCGGGUGUGAAAUCUUGGAGCUUAACUCCGAAACUGCAUUCGAUACUGCCGUGCUUGAGGACUGGAGAGGAGACUGGAAUUUACGGUGUAGCGGUGAAAUGCGUAGAUAUCCGGAGGAACACCGAAGGCGAAGGCAGUGUCCUGGCGAGUGACUGACGCUGAGGUGCGAAAGCCAGGGGAGCGAACGGG
rnacentral:rRNA from 1 species